CAGCAGCCACGGUAAUACGGAGGGUGCAAGCGUUAAUCGGAAUUACUGGGCGUAAAGCGUACGUAGGCGGCUUUGUAAGUUAGAGGUGAAAGCCCGGGGCUCAACCCCGGAACUGCCUUUGAAACUAGGUGACUAGAAUCUUGGAGAGGUCAGUGGAAUUCCGAGUAUAGAGGUGAAAUUCGUAGAUAUUCGGAAGAACACCAGUGGCGAAGGCGACUGACUGGACAAGUAUUGACGCUGAGGUGCGAAAGCGUGGGGAGCAAACAGGAUUAGAUACCCGCGUAGUCCCUGUCUCUUAUAC
rnacentral:rRNA from 1 species